UGGUGGAGCGAUUUGUCUGGUCAAUUCCGAUAACGACGAGACUAUAGCCUACUAAAUAGUUCGGGGACCCCCACAAAGGGGCCCCGCUUCAACUUCUUAGAGGGACAGGUGGCGUUUAGCCACACGAGAUUGAGCAAUAACA
rnacentral:rRNA from 1 species